rnacentral:pre_miRNA from 7 species
AUCUUUGGUUAUCUAGCUGUAUGAGUGGUGUGGAGUCUUCAUAAAGCUAGAUAACCGAAAGU